rnacentral:rRNA from 1 species
GACGAACGCUGGCGGCGUGCCUAAUACAUGCAAGUUGAGCGAUGAAGAUUGGUGCUUGCACCAAUUUGAAGAGCAGCGAACGGGUGAGUAACGCGUGGGGAAUCUGCCUUUGAGCGGGGGACAACUUCUGGAAACGAAUGCUAAUACCGCAUAACAUCUUUAAACAUAAGUUUUAAGUUUGAAAGAUGCAAUUGCAUCACUCAAAGAUGAUCCCGCGUUGUAUUAGCUAGUUGGUGAGGUAAAGGCUCACCAAGGCGAUGAUACAUAGCCGACCUGAGAGGGUGAUCGGCCACAUUGGGACUGAGACACGGCCCAAACUCCUACGGGAGGCAGCAGUAGGGAAUCUUCGGCAAGGGACGAAAGUCUGACCGAGCAACGCCGCGGGAGUGAAGAAGGUUUUCGGAUCGUAAAACUCUGUUGGUAGAGAAGAACGAUGGUGAGAGUGGAAAGCUCAUGAAGUGACGGUACCUACCCAGAAAGGGACGGCUAACUACGUG